GACGAACGCUGGCGGCGUGCUUAACACAUGCAAGUCGAACGGAAAGGCCCUGCUUUUGUGGGGUGCUCGGGUGGCGAACGGGUGAGUAACACGUGAGUAACCUGCCCUUGACUUUGGGAUAACUUCAGGAAACUGGGGCUAAUACCGUAUAGGAUCUCCUGCUGCAUGGUGGGGGUUGGAAAGUUUCGGCGGGUGGGGAUGGACUCGCGGCUUAUCAGCUUGUUGGUGGGGUAGUGGCUUACCAAGGCUUUGACGGGUAGCCGGCCUGAGAGGGUGGACGGCGACCAGGGGACUGAGGUACGGCGCAGACGCGUACGGGAGGCAGCAGGGGGGAAUAUUGCACAGUGGGCGGAAGCCUGAUGCAGCAGCGCCGGGGGCGGGAUGACGGCCUUCGGGUUGUAAACCGCUGUAGCCUGUGACGAAGCGUGAGUGACGGUAAUGAGUGAAGAAGCACCGGCUAACUACGUG
rnacentral:rRNA from 1 species